UACGUAGGGUGCAAGCGUUGUCCGGAAUUAUUGGGCGUAAAGAGCUCGUAGGCGGUUUGUUGCGUCGGCUGUGAAAUCCCGAGGCUCAACCUCGGGUCUGCAGUCGAUACGAGCAAACUAGAGUGUUGCAGGGGAGACUGGAAUUCCUGGUGUAGCGGUGAAAUGCGCAGAUAUCAGGAGGAACACCGGUGGCGAAGGCGGGUCUCUGGGCAGUAACUGACGCUGAGGCGCGAAAGCUAGGGGAGCAAACGGG
rnacentral:rRNA from 1 species